GGGGACGUAACACAACGGGAGUGUGCCAGCCCUGCAAGCUGGAAAUGAGGGUCCGAUUCCCUCCGUCUCCA
rnacentral:tRNA from 1 species